rnacentral:tRNA from 1 species
UGCGGGAUAGAGUAAUUGGUAACUCGUCAGGCUCAUAACCUGAAAAAUGUAGGUUCAAGUCCUACUUCCGCAU